GCACAAGCGGUGGAUGAUGUGGUUUAAUUCGAUGCAACGCGAAAAACCUUUACCCACCUUUGACAUGGCAGGAAUCCUAAAGAGAUUUUGGGAGUGCUCGAAAGAGAACCUGCACACAGGUGCUGCAUGGCUGUCGUCAGCUCGUGUCGUGAGAUGUUGGGUUAAGUCCCGCAACGAGCGCAACCCUUGUCAUUAGUUGCCAUCAUUUGGUUGGGCACUCUAAUGAGACUGCCGGUGACAAACCGGAGGAAGGUGGGGAUGACGUCAAGUCCUCAUGGCCCUUAUGGGUAGGGCUUCACACGUCAUACAAUGGUCGGUACAGAGGGUUGCCAACCCGCGAGGGGGAGCUAAUCCCACAAAGCCGAUCGUAGUCCGGAUCGCAGUCUGCAACUCGACUGCGUGAAGUCGGAAUCGCUAGUAAUCGUGGAUCAGCAUGUCACGGUGAAUACGUUCCCGGGUCUU
rnacentral:rRNA from 1 species